UCUGUCCUUGGAGCAUUCAGCAUCCUCUUCCCCUCCGUGCGCUUCCCACAGUGAGUCCACCCCAGCGGGGUCCUGGGGAAGCCACAGGGUCCUGCACCCCCACUUCGCAGUCAGACGUGACUCUCAGCCAGCCAGUAACACAGAGGUUUAUUCGAUGACAGGAACAGGGUCUAAAACAGAGCUUGUAGAUACAGCGAACCGGACCCCUCGGCCGGGUCCAUUCUGGGGGGCAGUGAGCCAGACCCCCAGGUCUGCCCUCCACCCUCGACCCCAGCCAGCUCCAGACUAACAACCCCUCCCAGCCCCUCCUCUCUCCUCAGCCCCUUUCCCGGGCCAGGAGGUCACCUGAUCCCUUUGUCUCCAACACCUUCAGCUGGCACCUUUGCAGAGGAGGGGCCCAGGCCAUCAGUUGCUAGGAGACAGAGUGUCAGGCAUUUAGGUGCACUGGCCCUUUGCUCUGCCAGAUACUUAAGAACUGCCAUGGGGACACUGAGGCACCAACACAGU